GACGAACGCUGGCGGCGUGCUUAACACAUGCAGGUCGAACGGAAAGGCCCUGCUUUUGUGGGGUGCUCGAGUGGCGAACGGGUGAGUAACACGUGAGUAACCUGCCCUUGACUGUGGGAUAACUUCAGGAAACUGGGGCUAAUACCGGCAAGGAGCUCCUGCUGCAUGGUGGGGGUUGGAUAGUUUCGGCGGUUGGGGAUGGACUCGCGGCUUAUCAGCCUGUUGGUGGGGUAGUGGCUUACCAAGGCUUUGACGGGUAGCCGGCCUGGGAGGGUGACCGGCCACAUUGGGACUGAGCUACGGCCCAGACUCCUACGGGAGGCAGCAGUGGGGAAUAUUGCACAAUGGGCUGAAGCCUGAUGCAGCAACGCCGCGUGCGGGAUGACAGCCUUCGGGUUGUAUUCCGCUUUCGCCUUUGCCGAAGCGUGAGUGACGGUAAUGGGUAAAGAAGCACCGGCUAACUACGUG
rnacentral:rRNA from 1 species